rnacentral:tRNA from 1 species
GGGCAGGUGGCGGAAAAGGAAGACGCGCAAGGUUCAGGGCCUUGUGGUUUAAAACCGUGAGGGUUCGAAUCCCUCCCUGCCCACAA